GAGAAGAAGGAAGAAAGAGUAGAAAUGGAAGAAGACAUCAAAGAACUGGCUUGAAUACAUCAUGGUUAUGCAAGAACAAGUGAUGAUAAGGGCUUAAGGUCGAGACGAGGACAUCAUCCCAUUACUACCGGGAGCCGAUCACUGUAAUCAACCGGGAGUUCAGUCCUAACCUUUAAGGCUCGUCUUUCUCUUGUCAACUUUGAUGCGUCCAGGCACCACCUGAAGCCGUGCAUUUUGUAAAGUGUUGUUAGGUUAUUGAUUUAUGCUUUGGUUGUCUUUCAUUAAUAUUUUCGUUACACGCCCAAUUGUGGGUCUAAGUAUGAAUGUAUAAGUGUGUAACCGAAGUUCGGGUGUAUGUUUCUAUAUAUUAUGUACCUAAU